GCAGUAGCCGCGGGAAUACGUAGGUGGCAAGCGUUGUCCGGAAUUAUUGGGCGUAAAGGGCUCGCAGGCGGUUUCUUAAGUCUGAUGUGAAAGCCCCCGGCUCAACCGGGGAGGGUCAUUGGAAACUGGGAAACUUGAGUGCAGAAGAGGAGAGUGGAAUUCCACGUGUAGCGGUGAAAUGCGUAGAGAUGUGGAGGAACACCAGUGGCGAAGGCGACUCUCUGGUCCGUAACUGACGCUGAGGAGCGAAAGCGUGGGGAGCGAACAGGAUUAGAUACCCCUGUAGUCCCUGUCUCUUAUAC
rnacentral:rRNA from 1 species